AUUGAACGCUGGCGGCAGGCCUAACACAUGCCAGUCGAGCGGAUGAAGGGAGCUUGCUCCUGGAUUCAGCGGCGGACGGGUGAGUAAUGCCUAGGAAUCUGCCUGGUAGUGGGGGAUAACGUCCGGAAACGGGCGCUAAUACCGCAUACGUCCUGAAGGAGAAAGUGGGGGAUCUUCGGACCUCACGCUAUCAGAUGAGCCUAGGUCGGAUUAGCUAGUUGGUGGGGUAAAGGCCUACCAAGGCGACGAUCCGUAACUGGUCUGAGAGGAUGAUCAGUCACACUGGAACUGAGACACGGUCCAGACUCCUACGGGAGGCAGCAGUGGGGAAUAUUGGACAAUGGGCGAAAGCCUGAUCCAGCCAUGCCGCGUGUGUGAAGAAGGUCUUCGGAUUGUAAAGCACUUUAAGUUGGGAGGAAGGGCAGUAAGUUAAUACCUUGCUGUUUUGACGUUACCAACAGAAUAAGCACCGGCUAACUUCGUG
rnacentral:rRNA from 1 species